GACGAACGCUGGCGGCGUGCUUAACACAUGCAAGUCGAGCGGUAAGGCCCUUUCGGGGGUACACGAGCGGCGAACGGGUGAGUAACACGUGGGUGACCUGCCCUCAGCUCUGGGAUAAGCCCGGGAAACUGGGUCUAAUACCGGAUAUGACUUCAUGACGCAUGUUGUGGAGUGGAAAGCCUUGUGCGGCUGAGGAUGGGCCCGCGGCCUAUCAGCUUGUUGGUGGGGUGANGGCCUACCAAGGCGACGACGGGUAGCCGGCCUGAGAGGGCGACCGGCCACACUGGGACUGAGAUACGGCCCAGACUCCUACGGGAGGCAGCAGUGGGGAAUCUUGCGCAA
rnacentral:rRNA from 1 species